rnacentral:rRNA from 1 species
GACGUAGGGGGCGAACGUUAUCCGGAAUUAUUGGGCGUAAAGGGUGCGUAGGCGGCAUGAUAAGUUAUUGGCGGCAAAUCGAGGCUCAACCUCGUGGAAACUGAUAAUACUGUCUUGCUUGAGUGCAGAAGAGGUUAACGGAACUCCAUGUGGAGCGGUAAAAUGUGUAGAUAUAUGGAAGAACAUCAAUAACGGCGAAGGCAGUUAACUAUUCUGUUACUGACGUUGAGGCACGAAAGCAUGGGGAGCAAAAAGG